rnacentral:rRNA from 1 species
UUGACCUCGGAUCAGGUAGGGAUACCCGCUGAACUUAAGCAUAUCAAUAAGCGGAGGAAAAGAAACCAACAGGGAUUGCCCUAGUAACGGCGAGUGAAGCGGCAACAGCUCAAAUUUGAAAUCUGGCUCUUUUAGGGUCCGAGUUGUAAUUUGCAGAGGGCGCUUUGGCGUUGGCAGCGGUCCAAGUUCCUUGGAACAGGACGUCACAGAGGGUGAGAAUCCCGUACGUGGUCGCUGGUCUUCGCCGUGUAAAGCCCCUUCGACGAGUCGAGUUGUUUGGGAAUGCAGCUCUAAAUGGGAGGUAAAUUUCUUCUAAAGCUAAAUACUGGCCAGAGACCGAUAGCGCACAAGUAGAGUGAUCGAAAGAUGAAAAGCACUUUGGAAAGAGAGUCAAAUAGCACGUGAAAUUGUUGAAAGGGAAGCGCUUGCAGCCAGACUUGCCUGUAGUUGCUCAUCCGGGCUUUUGCCCGGUGCACUCUUCUAUAGGCAGGCCAGCAUCAGUUUGGGCGGUUGGAUAAAGGUCUCUAUCACGUACCUCUCUUCGGGGAGGCCUUAUAGGGGAGACGACAUGCAACCAGCCUGGACUGA